rnacentral:rRNA from 1 species
AUUGAACGCUGGCGGCAGGCCUAACACAUGCAAGUCGAACGAGUGGCGGACGGGUGAGUAAUGUCUGGGAAACUGCCUGAUGGAGGGGGAUAACUACUGGAAACGGUAGCUAAUACCGCAUACCAUCGGAUGUGCCCAGAUGGGAUUAGCUAGUAGGUGGGGUAACGGGUCACCGAGGCGACGAUCCCUAGCUGGUCUGAGAGGAUGACCACCCAUACUGGAACUGAGACACGUGCCAGACUCCUACGGUAGGCAGCAGUGGGGAAUAUUGCACAAUGGGCGAAAGCCUGAUGCAGCCAUGCCGCGUGUAUGAAGAAGGCUGUCGGGUGGUAAAGUACUUUCAGCGGGGAGGCGUUACCCGCAGAAGAAGCACCGGCUAACUCCGUGCCAGCAGCCGCGGUAAUUC